rnacentral:rRNA from 1 species
AUGGUGACUUCCAGCCACAGCUCUUCAGAGUUGCCCUCCACCGAAACGCCCGCGCCGAGGACGCCCGCACCGACGCCGACAGAAGACGCCGACGACGCCCGCGACAUCCACGACGACGGCCUCCUCGCCAACACAGGAGUUCGUAUUCGUAUGGGCCCUACCACUCCCAACAGGACCCCCACUCCCAGCAGGACGCGCACCCCCUUCCAGGAUAUAAGCAACAACCAAACAUCAGGUAUUGAUCAUAACCCAGUCAGGACGCGCCCCCCCUUCCAGGAUAUAAGCAACAACCAAACAUCAGACCCAAAGGAACUAAAAAGGCAGAGGGAUAGAGAGCGGUAUGCAAAAAAUAAAGAUGAGAUUAAUAAGAGAAGGCGUGAAGCCUACAAAAGAAAAAAAAAUACCAGUGAGGAAAUAGAUGGCCUACAUAACGGAACACCGGCACAGCUAGCUGUAUCACAAGGUAAUGAUGAUCAAAUUUCAUUAUCUAUGCCCCAAUUGAAUUGGCAUGUAAUUAUUUUUUCUUCAUCUGUUCAAACACUAACGAGACUAAGAAUCGGAGGCAAAGGGAGCGUUAUGCACAGAAUAGAGAGGAAAUCUUAA